rnacentral:lncRNA from 1 species
AGUAUUAAGCUCCCUCAGGUCUUUAAAGUGCAGCCAAUGGAACUUUGUCUGCUGGGUGGGAGCAGGCGCUCGCUUCCUACAUCACUCUCUUCCCCACUGGGUGGAAAGGUCACCAUCAGUAGGCACCGCUAUCCUACCUGCGGGUACAACUUCUGUGGAGGCAGAUUCAGCUUGGGCGAUCCGGGAGGAGUUCUCUGCAGUGGAAGUUGGAGGGUCAUAGCUGGCGGCUCCCGUGGAGCAGGUAAUUACAGGAACCCACAGACUCCAAAAGCAAUAUCACCUGCGGAAGAGGAUUUCAUCCACAAGCCUGGGACACACAUCAACCUGAAUGGUCUGUGAGGUCUGCAAGGACUGUGGGUCUUCUCUAAAAAUGUUCUGCAACUUUGGGAAGUCACCUGCUCUCUUGUCUUGGAGGCUACCAAGAGUCCACUCUACAAAGAGGAGGGCAACAUAGAGGAAAAUAUUCUUCAGUGCUUCAAGGGGAAGCCCCAUCCAGCCCCAGCAAGGCCUUUGACUUAUCUCACAGAGACAGGCAAUGAAUAAAGGCAGGCUCCAAGAGUAAGAGAUUCCUCCCAAGCCCAAGUGACUCCUGUAAAUGUAACUGAUUUUAGCAGGACAAAAACAAGCAAUAAUUUUGGCUACCUGCUUGAU